rnacentral:rRNA from 1 species
CCUACGGGUGGCAGCAGUGAGGAAUAUUGGUCAAUGGACGAGAGUCUGAACCAGCCAAGUAGCGUGAAGGAUGACUGCCCUAUGGGUUGUAAACUUCUUUUAUAUGGGAAUAAAAUGUUCCACGUGUGGGAUUUUGUAUGUACCAUAUGAAUAAGGAUCGGCUAACUCCGUGCCAGCAGCCGCGGUAAUACGGAGGAUGCGAGCGUUAUCCGGAUUUAUUGGGUUUAAAGGGAGCGUAGGUGGAUUGUUAAGUCAGUUGUGAAAGUUUGCGGCUCAACCGUAAAAUUGCAGUUGAAACUGGCAGUCUUGAGUACAGUAGAGGUGGGCGGAAUUAGUGGUGUAGCGGUGAAAUGCGUAGAUAUCACGAAGAACUCCGAUUGCGAAGGCAGUUCACUGGACUGCAACUGACACUGAGGCUCGAAAGUGUGGGUAUCAAACAGGAUUAGAUACCCGAGUAGUC